UACAGAGGUCUCAAGCGGUGCGCGGAUUCACUGGGCUUAAAGGGUGCGCAGGCGGUCUCGCAAGUGCCUUGUGAAAUCCCACGGCUUAACCGUGGAAUGGCUCGGUAGACUGCGGGACUUGAGGUCGGCAGAGGUCGCCGGAACGCUAGGUGGAGCGGUGAAAUGCGUAGAUAUCUAGCGGAACGCCAAAGGUGAAGACAGGCGACUGGGCCGAUUCUGACGCUCAGGCACGAAAGCGUGGGUAGCGAACGGG
rnacentral:rRNA from 1 species